ACGCGAUGCAGCAGGAACAACAGACAGAGCUCUACAGUGGGACUUCAGAGGGGGGUGAGCAGCAGCGACCUGAAGAGAUGUUCUACUGGUCCUGGUCCCAACAAUCUGUCUAGGAACGCGUGCCAGAACUCAGCCAUGGAGGAGUAUGUUCCGCUCUUGGAGAAGGUGAAAGAGGAGAGGUCUGAGCAGCGCAGGGUCGAUCUGCUCAAGGCUCAGGUACACGGCAUCCGCCGCUUGUCACCACGGCACGCUGAAGUGUUCGAGCCUUUCAUCUUAACUGGCAACCCGCAUGGAUCUGAUCCCGGCGCCGCGUGACAGCUGUGCUGAGCAGCGUUGAAAACACCCCGGCCAGCUGCCGCUGUGCUGAAUUGUCUCAGGCCCACCUGCCCCGUGUCACCCCCUCAGCCUUCACAGACCCCCUCAGCACUGCUCCUUCUGGCUUCCGGAUCUGAGAUCUGAUGUCACCACCCAAAACAUGGCCCUGCUUCUUCUAGAUCCAGAUCUGAGAUCAGUUCACACUACUCAAAUCUUUUUCUUCUUUGCUGAUUUAGGAUCGCUGAUGAGCUCCGAGUCCUCUGAAGCCGCCAUUGCUGUGGCUCACUCAGAGGCAGCCCUGGUCGUGGAGGGAUGCGAGGAGGUGAGAUGGCAAGGUGAAGCCCCGCCUAGCCAGGCCUGCCAGCCUCCCUGCACCAUGCACUGCUGGCUGAGCUUGGUGUAAAUAUCCUACUACCCUCACGUCACCUGACUAUGGCAAAGAGAAGUGGGACGAGAUUGGUCUUGAAGCAUAUUCCUUGGGACAUUUGGCAUUAUGGAAUUACCUAGACCAUUUCAUCGCAGGCAAAUCACAUUGAGCCUAAAACAAGACGAGCUCGUCUAUGUGCCGUAAUAGCCCACCAGUUUCAAAACGAGGAUUACCAUCUUUCAAUAUGUUUCUCUUAACCUUUCCACUACCCUACGUUCAUUCUUCCCCUCAGCCAUUACUGCGUACUAAUAACAUCAGGCCCCCAGCCAGAAGCACAUUCAUUUUAUUGAUGCGCCAGGCACCUAUGAUCUACAAAUCUAGAGUCAGAGAAUACAACCUCAUAACCUCCAUUACCACAGAUGGAUCUCCUACAACCUGUAAUAGUGUGUAGCCCUGAGAGGGGGAUUUGUCCUCUUGACUGAUCUAGAAUCUGUUCAUCAUCUGCUAUCUGUUUCCACUGCUGUAUUUCACCAUCAUCCUCAAUUAUCCCUGUUGAAUGUAGGCCGAUACAAUGCCCAUCUCUCUUCCCCGCAGAUAAUAACAUGCCACAAUGAUAGAAAGUCCCGUUAAAUAAUAGGCAAGGUGUUAUUACGUGCUCUGUCAUCUGUAUGCUCUGGGGGUAGGGGAGUGGGAGUUUUGUAUUCCUGUCAGCGUGAAAGGAUGGUCUUGGCGUGGGAUAUUUUGCCGUGCUCUGGAGAAUCCCCGUGAUAGACUUCCGCUCGCACGUCUUUAAUUUUCCACCUUCCAUUCCCUGUCACGGCGAGAAGAGGCCCGUCGCACAUGAGGAGGUGGUGAUCUAAGGCUGCUCCACUGCUCCACUGUUGCAUCGCGUGCCGACGUCGGUGCCGGUGAGAGCACACCUGCUCGUGUCUGCUGUCGCUAGGCGCGAGAGAGCCUUUGUCUGAACGUGCCCUGAAGAUGCGCAUAUGGUGCUCAGUGUGUGCGUUUACUUGGGGUUCCACACGCCAUGUUUCUUGUUGCUGGAUUUUCUAAUGCCUGUGGGGGUUUUGGUGCUUUGUAUUCUUGUUACGGGAGGAAGGGAGACUGGACAGACGUAUUUAAACUGAGGCACAGCUGCAAAAUAAACGAUUGUUCUGUGUGUUUAUAUACUCCCAAGGCUCUAAAGCUCUUGGCAUCACCUUAAAAACUAAAACGUGUUGACGUGCUCA